UACGUAGGGGGCUAGCGUUGUCCGGAAUCACUGGGCUUAAAGGGCGCGUAGGCGGACUGCCAAGUCCGGGGUGAAAUCUUUCGGCUUAACCGGAAAAGGGCCUUGGAAACUGGCGGUCUCGAGGGAGGUAGGGGCCUGUGGAACUUCGGGUGGAGCGGUGAAAUGCGUUGAUAUCCGAAGGAACGCCGGUGGCGAAAGCGACGGGCUGGAUCUCUUCUGACGCUGAGGCGCGAAAGCCAGGGGAGCAAACGGG
rnacentral:rRNA from 1 species